UUAAUCUCCUUGGUUCCAAUAGAUCUACUAAUUUUAUUUGGCUCAGAAUUUGCCGGUCGUUUGGCUCCACAUUGAGUGGGCGUAGCCUGCGGCACUGAUUGACUGAUUGGCAACUGGCAACUGGCCAAGGAGAUUAAAAGUAGUUCUAAACUCCUUGCAACUGGCACACUGGCAGCUGGCAGCUGGCAACUUCCUCUUUUCGAAGAUGGCGGCGGGAAAGGCAAAGAGGCACCUCUUGUUGUCGAGGAGUUGUCAAUACACUGUCAAUUAGGCCUAAUAUUAUCACUGUUUCCACGGAAAAUUUUCGAUCAUGGCCUAGAUAUCUAGAUCUAGAGAUCUAGAUCUAGGUAGAUCCAAGGUUGUUUUGUGACAGCUUCUAGAAUCUAGAAACAUGCUGAUCAGGAGAGAGAUAGACACUCCAGAGUCUCUGGAAUGAGAACCCGGUGCUGCAAAUGCUCACGCCAUUAAGUUCAAGAUACUCCAGCUGAAGACGGUCACUCGGUCAGCCUUGUUUGGCGUGAUACGUUGGAGACUUGUGCUUGCCCAGACUCUACUCUUCAGUGUGAGACCGAAGACUGAAGUAUCGAAACAAGUCUUGACUGACCUGGUAACUUGGAAGAGUUCAGGAUGCUCUUUGAGGAGACUAUUGGGCAAAAUGGCAGUAGAACUGCUGGGGAAGUACAACACUGACACACAUUUUGUUGUUGUUGCUGAAGUGAAGUAUGUGACAAGUACAUCCUGCCUGGUUUUUCUUGUUAAGUGAUGUCUGCAAGAUUACAUACUGUGCAGAGCUCCUACCAGUUCACUGAGAUGUCCUUGGACGCUCGACAAAGAGAAUUAGUACUAUUGGUGUCAUAGACAGGCAAGGUCUACCACAGAGAAACAUCACCUUUUCUGACCGUGCCGUAGCUUCUUCAUAGCUUUGGCACUGCCCUUCAAAACCUGGAAGUCAACGAGAAAAAGAGUGAUUUAAUCUUUGGAGGGAGAGCUGAUGGUGCAAUGACUCAGGUAAUUCCACCUCGAGCCGCAAGAGGAAAGUGAAUUGUUGAUGUCUUUCAUGAGGAGGCAAGAAGUCCCUUCUUCUUUCCUGCACAGCAAGAAGUGUGUGUGAUGCACCAGGAGGAAGUGGUGGCAGUCCUUCUUCCCCCACCCAGAAUUAAGAACAGUGGCAGACAUUUUUUCUCUUGAUUUUUUCUUUUUCUUCCCCCCACCCCCUUUUUAAAAUGUCUUUUUUCUAUUGUUUAUUUGCUGGGGGGGGGAUCAUUUAUAAAAAGUGUACAUUACAACGAUUUUUAUGGCCGCUCAAUUCGUUUUACUAAAUGUGGUAAUAUUCAUGGAUUAUGUAGCUUGCUUCAAGGUAAGGUAACCUUACUUUUUUCACCAGCCUUUGCUGUCUCUCAAACAUUUUACAUUCCUCUUUGAAAGACCUUACCGGUAUAAUACAAUAACCCUUUGAUAAUGUUCAGAAUCCUGAAACAAACAGGGGUCCUCACUGUGAAAUCCACCUCGUUGCUUUACCUGUACAAAUUCUUGAAGUCACUGGGGUCGCUUUCUCAGUUCGGUUCCUGCAGAAGAUUGGGACCCGAUACGCUCAUGGACAGGCAGAUGAUACAGGAUUGGUAAGGGAGGAACCUCCAGAAUUUUAUUCCUGGACUGUGCCUACCUCUUUCGACUUUGACUAUGAAAUUGAUCACAGGGGCCAAUUUUUAUUUUAAAAUUUGAUUCUCUUUGUUUUUGUAUUUUGUUGUUAUUUGUCUCUUUUUUUUUAAUCCCAAAAAUUACCUCCCUUUGUUUAUUUCAAUAAAAUUGUGUAUGAAAAUAA
rnacentral:lncRNA from 1 species